rnacentral:rRNA from 1 species
CCAGUCCUACGGGGGGCAGCAGUGGGGAAUAUUGGGCAAUGGGCGCAAGCCUGACCCAGCAACGCCGCGUGAAGGAAGAAGGCUUUCGGGUUGUAAACUUCUUUUCUGAGGGACGAAGAAAGUGACGGUACCUCAGGAAUAAGCCACGGCUAACUACGUGCCAGCAGCCGCGGUAAUACGUAGGUGGCAAGCGUUAUCCGGAUUUAUUGGGUGUAGAGGGCGUGUAGGCGGGAAAGCAAGUCAGAUGUGAAAACUCA